UUCAGAUAGAGUCUUACACUGUCACCUGAGCUGGAGUGCAAUGGUGCAAUCUCGGCUCACUGAAACCUCCACCUUCUGGGUUCAUGUGAUUCUCCUGCCUCAGCCUCCCAUGUUGCUGGGAUUACAGCUACAAAAGAUUUGGCCAAUUCAGAUGCCUUGUUCCCCACAAUUUGGAACUUUCCUUUGGAUUUGACCAAGUCAGGAAGAGACGACCAUACUUGAUGAGAGAAAAGUAAAACAACAACAAUAAAACACCAAAUGUAAACAAGAACAUUUAAGCAAAACAAACAAAUGCACAAUCCAUAUGAUUAGUGACUGUUCUAACGGUAAGGAGAAAUAAAAACCAGCUGAUUGGUAAUCUUAACUUUUAGUCAUUAAGGAAAAUUUUUAAGACAAAAUUCUAAUUCAGCUACUUACUUGGAAAUAUGGCUCAGGCUGAUGAUGGCUCUCUACCAUCUUACAAGAAGGAAAAAUCUCACACUCACCCUCCCUGUCAGAAGCACGCUGAAACUCAAGAAAGGAUGUGCCUGUUCUCCAUCAUCAUGGAAGCAGGAAAACAUGCCUUCUUAUUGGAAAUGAGUAAAACUUCAGAAAAAAAGUCGUAGAGCAAAAUCAACCUUGGAUCUCAACCAAAUUUUGGAAGAUUAAGGACUCUCUGGAGGGGAGAAACUCCCCAACCUCAGCAAAUUAUCCUAUUGUUUCCAGCAAUACAAAUAGCUCAGGUUGGCUAGGCGCGGUGACUCAUGCCUGUAAUCCCAGCACUUUGGAAGGCCAAGGCGGGUGGUUGAUUUGAGGUGAGAAGACCAGCCUGGCCAACAUGGUGAAACCCAGUCUCUAACUGUAAUUGUGUUCCUUUUGCCUCAGACAGCUCCUUUUGUAGUACACAAACCAUAUUGUCCAUUUGUUCAAUUUCUACUGUAAGUUGCUCAUAGUGGCUAUUUUCAUCCACACAUACACAAAACAAAUAUGCAUUGAGUUCCUACCACGGGGAACACAGUCUACUGAGCUCUGCAGAUAAAACAAACAGUAACUCUGCUCUUGUUUAGCUGUAAGUGUAGUGAAGAACAAAUACAAAGAAGUGAAAUUACAACUUCAGAUAGAUGCUGCAAGAAAACAGUUCUAUGAUCACACAGGAUUUGAUCUAUACUGGGCUCAGGAAGAUUUCCCUGGGGAAGAGAUGGCUACACUGAGAAAUGAAGGGUGAGAAGGAAGCUGUUAAGUAAAGGGGGUAGAAAAACAUUCUAGCUAGUUUAUGUCAUGUGCUGAAGCUCUGCUGCAGUCUGCUUCUGGCCAUGAUGGAGCAGCAGAUACUGACUUACCUUCUCACCUGAAACAAAAACAAAAAAGACAAAAUACAUAAUACCACGAUUUUCAAGAACAAGGAUUUCAGGUAGUGAAGACAAUGAUCCUUGUAAGAUAGGAAACAAGUGAAAUAAGCCUUACAAACACCCUAGCUCCCUGACUUGACAAAGUUUCCAGGCCAUGACAAUGAAAGAAAAAAAAAACUGAGUUAGAGUCUACCAAAAACUGAGGUAGAGCCCACCAGAUUCCCUGAGUUUGAACAAUGAAGCCGAGAGUCUCAAAAAACCAAGGCAGACAGAAAUCACAGAAUACUUGAAAGGAGACAGCAGUAAAGGGAAAGAACACUGGAGAUCUGCAAAAACACCCUCUUGGGUAUUUAUUUAGCAGAAUAAUGAACAGUACAUUUGUCCUAAGAAACUACUUGAGACCAGGGGGAAAAAAUCCAUGGAUGAAAUUGGAAACCAUCAUUCUCAGUAAACUAUCG
rnacentral:lncRNA from 1 species